rnacentral:rRNA from 1 species
GGGGAAACCCUUGAUGCAGCAACGCCGCGUGAGGAUGACGCAUUUUGGUGUGUAAACUCCUUUUAUAUGUCAAGAAAAUGACGGUAGCAUAUGAAUAAGCACCGGCUAACUCCGUGCCAGCAUCCGCGGUAAUACGGAGGGUGCAAGCGGUUACUCGGAAUCACUGGGCGUAAAGGACGCGUAGGCGGGUUAUCAAGUCAGGUGUGAAAUCCUACAGCUUAACUGUAGAACUGCACUUGAAACUGGUAACCUAGAGUAUGGGAGGGGCAGAUGGAAUUAGUGGUGUAGGGGUAAAAUCCGUAGAUAUCACUAGGAAUACCUAAAGCGAAGGCGAUCUGCUGGAACAUAACUGACGCUAAGGCGUGAAAGCGUGGGGAGCAAACAGGAUUAGAUACCCUGGUAGUCCACGCCCUAAACGAUGAACACUAGUCGUCGUGAUGCUUGUCAUUGCGGUGAUGCACUUAACAGAUUAAGUGUUCCGCCUGGGGAGUACGGUCGCAAGAUUA